rnacentral:rRNA from 1 species
CGGACGGGUGAGUAAUGUCUGGGAAACUGCCUGAUGGAGGGGGAUAACUACUGGAAACGGUAGCAAUACCGCAUAACGUCGCAAGACCAAAGAGGGGACCUUCGGGCCUCUUGCCAUCGGAUGUGCCCAGAUGGGAUUAGCUAGUAGGUGGGGUAACGGCUCACCUAGGCGACGAUCCCUAGCUGGUCUGAGAGGAUGACCAGCCACACUGGAACUGAGACACGGUCCAG